GUGCACAUUUCGUUGACCUGCUUUCUUUAUAUGUGAGCAGUGUUAUUUCUUAUUAUACCAAUAGUGGAAGGUUAAUUAGCAGUAUAAGUAUACAUAGUAAGGCUGCCAGUUUCCUUCAGACAAAG
ensembl:snoRNA